UACAGAGGGUGCGAGCGUUGUUCGGAAUUAUUGGGCGUAAAGCGCGUGUAGGCGGUCUGUUAUGUCGGGUGUGAAAGCCCUCAGCUUAACUGAGGAAGUGCGCCCGGAAACUGGCAGACUUGAGUGGCCGGAGAGGAUAGCGGAACACCCGGUGGUAGAGGUGAAAUUCGUAGAUAUCGGGUAGAACACCAGUGGCGAAGGCGGCU
rnacentral:rRNA from 1 species